AUGGCGUGGCCGGAUUUCUCCUCUAGCUCUGUGGGCCCAGAGAAGCCAGACUCUUUAACUAGUUCUACAGGACCAAAUUCAUUACCAAGUUCCUCAUCUUGUUCUGCAAGCCCUACCUUGCCAGACUUUUCCAAACUCAGGUCAAUCUGGAAAGAUUCAGAAGAGGGCAAUACCUGGCCGGACUUUUCCCUCAGGUCAAUCUGGAAAGAUUCAGCAGAGGAUCAUACCUGGCCAGACUUUUCUGUCAGGUCAGUCUGGAAAGAUUCAGCAGAGGAUCAUACCUGGCCAGAUUUUUCCCCUAACUCAAUCUGGAAAGAUUCAGCAGAGGAUUACGUCGGCCUGGACUUCAUAUCAGGUCAGGACUGGCCAUAUUCCUCAUCAGACAAGAUCUGGCCUGACUUCUCCUCUGGCCAGGACUGGGGAAACCCCACUCUUGGCUCAAUCUGGCCAGAUUUCUCUCCAAUACAACAAGCCUUUUUAGACUCCUUUCUCAUUGGAGACUUGUCAAAUUCCUUUGCAGACCAGCCUUGGCCGGACUCCGGCAAGAGCCAGCUCUGGCCGGAGAACUCUCUGGGCCUGGCCUGGCCAGACUCUUCUCCAGACCAGCUUUGGUCAUACUCUUACUUAGACCAGCCCUGGCCAUAUUACAUCCUGGGCCAACCCUGGGCAGACUCCUCUCCUGUCCCAGCCUGGCCAGACUCCAUCCAGGGAGAGCCCUGGCCAGACUCCUCUGAGCGCCACACUUGGCCAGACCCCAGUCAGGGCCCAAUUUGGCCAGACUCCAUACAGGGCCAAGCCUGGCCAGACUCCUCUGAGUGCCAAACUUGGCCAGACUCCAGUCAGGGCCAGAUUUGGACAGACUAUAUCCAAGGCCAGGAUUGGCCAGACUCCAGCAAGAGCCAGAUCUGGCCAGAGAACUCUCCGGGCCUGGUCUGGCCAGACUUUUAUCCAGACCAGCCUUGGUCAGAUUUUUCCUUAGACCAGCCCUGGCCAUAUUACAUCCAGGGCCAACCCUGGGUAGACUCCUCUACUGUUCCAGUCUGGCCAGACUACAUCCAGGGAGAACCCUGGCCAGACUCCUUUGAGUACCUAACUUGGCCAGACCCCACUCAGUUCCAGAUUUGGCCAGACUCUAUCCAAGGCCAGCCCUGGCCAGACUCUUUUCCAGGCCAGCCUUGGUUAGAUUCUUCCUCAGACCAGCCCUGGCUAUAUUCCUUUCAGGGCCAACCCUGGGUAGACUAUUCUACUGUCCCAGCCUGGUCAGACUCCAUCCAGGGAGAACCCUGGCCAUACUUCUCUGAGUGCCAAACUUGGCUAGACCCUAGCCAGGGCCAGAUGUGGUCAGACUCCUUCCAGGGUCAAUUCUGGCCAGAUUACUCUGAGAAUCAAACUUGGCCAGACUUUAUCCAGGGUCAGGUUUGGCCAUAUUCCAUCCAGGACCAGACUUGGUCAGACUAUAUCCAAGGCCAGGCUUGGCAGGACCUCUCACUAUAUACUCUGUACCCAAACAGUCUACCAGAUCAGACUAGUCCAAACUAUUCAUUGGACCAGGCUUACCCAGCCUGCCCGUCUAUCCAAACCUGGUCAGAUAUCUCACUCCAUCCAUCUGGGCCAGACUUUUCACCAGACUCCAUUCAGGGCCAGGCUUGGCCAGACUCCUCAGGACACACUACAUGCCUAGACAAUCCACUAGAUCAGGCCAGGCCAGACUGUUCAUUGGAACAGGCCUUGCCAGUCUUCCCACCUGGCCAAACCUGGUCACAUUCAUUACCUCAUCCAUCCUGGCCAAACUUCCUACCAGACUCCACAGAGAUAGUCUAUCCAGUGGGCUCAGUCUGGUCAGGAUAUCCAUUAACCAUAGCAUGGCUAAGUUGCCUUCAGGGCAUAGUCUGGCUACAGUGUCCACUACAACAGGUCUACCCAGACUCCUCACUCAGCCCAAACCGGUUAAUCUUAUCACCAAACCUAGCCUGGACAGACUGGCCAAAUUAUCCCAGGGUCCUAGCCUGUCUGAAUUACUGGCCAGCCUACUUCAUAGGCUGGGCUUGGCCAGACCCCUCCCUAGGUCCUGGGUGGAUAGGUUAUUCCCUGGGAUUUGGGUGGGCUGACUUCUCCCAUAAUCCAGAGUGGCCAUAUACCUCCUUGGACCAAGGAUUGACAGAUCCCUCUCUGGUCCAAGGAUGGACCAAUCCCUCUCUGGGCCUGAAGUGGUCAUGUUAUCUGAGCUGGGCUUGGUUAGACUCCAGACUGAUAUUUAGGCCAGGCCUAAUUGGCCUCAUUGGUUAA
rnacentral:lncRNA from 1 species